rnacentral:rRNA from 1 species
AUUGAACGCUGGCGGCAGGCCUAACACAUGCAAGUCGAACGAGUGGCGGACGGGUGAGUAAUGUCUGGGAAACUGCCUGAUGGCGGGGGAUAACUACUGGAAACGGUAGCUAAUACCGCAUACCAUCGGAUGUGCCCAUAUGGGAUUAGCUAGUAGGUGGGGUAACGGCUCACCUAGGCGACGAUCCCUAGCUGGUCUGAGAGGAUGACCAGCCACACUGGAACUGAGACACGGUCCAGACUCCUACGGUAGGCAGCAGUGGGGAAUAUUGCAAAAGGGGCGCAAGCCUGAUGCAGCCAUGACGCGUGUAGGAAGAAGGCCUUCGGGUGGUAAAGUACUUGCAGCGGGGAGGCGUUACCCGCAGAAGAAGCACCGGCUAACUCCGUGACAGCAGCCGCGGUAAUUC